rnacentral:rRNA from 1 species
GACGAACGCUGGCGGCGCGCCUAACACAUGCAAGUCGAACGAGAGAGAGGGAGCUUGCUUCCUCAAUCGAGUGGCGAACGGGUGAGUAACGCGUGAGGAACCUGCCUCAAAGAGGGGGACAACAGUUGGAAACGACUGCUAAUACCGCAUAAGCCCACGACCCGGCAUCGGGUUGAGGGAAAAGGAGCAAUCCGCUUUGAGAUGGCCUCGCGUCCGAUUAGCUAGUUGGUGAGGUAAUGGCCCACCAAGGCGACGAUCGGUAGCCGGACUGAGAGGUUGAACGGCCACAUUGGGACUGAGACACGGCCCAGACUCCUACGGGAGGCAGCAGUGGGGAAUAUUGCACAAUGGGGGAAACCCUGAUGCAGCGACGCCGCGUGGAGGAAGAAGGUCUUCGGAUUGUAAACUCCUGUUGUUGAGGAAGAUAAUGACGGUACUCAACAAGGAAGUGACGGCUAA